UCAGCAACAGCCAUAGAGCCUGGCCAGGAUUUAGACGCCUUAGAAAUCGAUUAGUUUGAUUAGAUAUCUGCAUACCAUACAUUAAGUGCUAAGAGAGUCAGCGAUUUUCUAGAUAUCUGUGUGCUGUCUGUAUGCCGCCAAGGGGUCUCAAAGAGUGCAAUAUACGCGAAUUUCUACGGCACCCAUAAAGAUUUUUGUCUAGUUUUUUUCCUCAAAACGUCAAUUGCAAUUAAGCGGGGAGUGCUUUAUGUGUCAUGGGCUUGGCCCUCUUUGAAUGAGCCAUAAAAAUGCCAGAGGUCUGACAAUUUGGCUAAUUGUAAAACAAUUAUUGCAAAAUGGAUCUAUAUCUUAUCGAAUUAUGAGUUCUACGAACUGGGAUAAUUCCAAUUGCGGCGCAAAUAAAG
rnacentral:lncRNA from 1 species